rnacentral:ncRNA from 1 species
GAAAGAUGAAAAGAACUUUGAAAAGAGAGUUAAAGAGUACCUGAAACUGCUGAAAGGGAACCGAAUCGUUUCCAGUGUCUAUAAUCCGUGGUAUAUUUCAUUGGCGAGUGUGUGCGUGCGUGUGCUGUGGCAGCGGCUUUUUUGGCUGCGCUCGGCGUGUGUGCUGUGUGUGCUUGCUGGUGCCCUGUGCUGCGGUGGGACGUCAAGGUCAGUUCGUAUGCUGCGGGAAAUGGCCGCCGAGGAGGUAGGGCUUACGCUUGCGUUUGUCUGUUAUAUCUUGGUGGACGAGUAGUCGCAGUUGGGACUGAGGUGCCUACAACGUGUUUUUGAGUGGGCCUGUGUCUCUGUGUGCGCCGUGUGCGGAUAGCUUGCUAUGCGUGUGUGGUUGUGUGUGGAUUGAUGUGGGUUUUAACUUGUUGCCGUUCGGGACGUUGACGAAAUGGAGCGAUUUGACCCGUCUUGAAACACGG